rnacentral:misc_RNA from 1 species
UCUUUCCAUAAAAGUUAGUUGGAUACAAAAAUUGUUAUACCGAAAUGGAGAGUUCUCAUUGAUUGUGCCAUUUAGUUUUCCGGAGUAUGUCACUCCUCCUGUAAAGAAGCUACCAAAAAAAGAAAAGAUACAAUUGAAUGUAAACUCUGGUACUGGACAAGAAAUUCUGUGCAAGACGACUAGUCAUCCUUUGAAGCAAUUAAAACGUGAAGCAGGG